rnacentral:rRNA from 1 species
UACGGAGGGUGCAAGCGUUGUCCGGAAUCACUGGGCGUAAAGGGCGCGUAGGCGGCCUGGUAAGUAGGGGGUGAAAUCCUGCGGCUUAACCGCAGGGCUGCCUUCUAAACUGUCAGGCUUGAGCACGGUAGAGGCAGAUGGAAUUCCCGGGUGUAGCGGUGGAAUGCGUAGAGAAUCGGGAAGAACAUCAGUGGCGAAGGCGGUCUGCUGGGCCGUUGCUGACGCUGAGGCGCGACAGCGUGGGGAGCAAACAGG